GUGAAGUCUCACUCUGUUGCCCAGGCUGGAGUGCAGUGGCACGAUCUCGGCUCGCUGCAACCUCCACCUCCCAGGUUCAAGCGAUCCUUCUGUUUCAGCCUCUCCAGUGGCUGGUAUUACAGGAACACACCACCAUGCCUGGCUAAUGCUUCUCUUUCUAUAAAUGAAGACGUGAGGCCGUGUAAGCUCCAAGAGAGCAGGGAUCUUGUUUGUCUUGGUCACCGUGAUAUUUCAGCUGCUGACCCAGUGCUUGAAGCAUACAAUCUGGAGUCUCCACAACUUUCUUCAUGGAACCACCACCAGGCCCCUUCUGUAGGCUUCUUAUGGAGGCUGAAGGUGUCUACAUGGCAGCAUAAAAUAGUAAUUAAGGACUCUGGAGUCACUGCCCAGGCUCAAAUCCCUGCUGCAAAUUGCGAGGUCUUUGAAGAGAAACUGAGGCCCAUAAAAUUGAAUGGCUCAUCUCAGAUCAAGUGGCCAGAUCAAUGAAGAGAAGUGUCCUUAGGUCCGGCUGCUGGUGUGAAGUAUGCUCUGGAGGUCUGACAUCCACUCUCCCUCAGACUUUCUAAUACGGCAGGAAUUCCGUCCAUGUAUACUCAAGCUAGAGUUGCCAGAUGAAAUGGAGGACAUGGCUGGGUGCGGUGGCUCAGCUCGGAGCAGUGGCUCACGCCUGUAAUCCCAGCACUUUGGGAGGCCGAGGUGGGCUGAUGGCCUGAGGUCAGGAGUUCAAAACCAGCGUGGCCAACAAGAUGUGCCAGUUCUGGUAAAUUUCCUAGCAAGCUUGAAGGAAGUGAAGGACAACUGCAAGGAAGGGCAGGAUGGAGCAUGCAGCCCACGUAUUCCCCAGCUUGGUGGGGCAGAAUGCGUUCUUGGCUCCUGAGGAAUGGGCAGGCAACGCACAGGGGUCCUGGGAAGAAAGGGAGAGAAUAUCCUGGGAGAGCCAUAGACCCUGGCACCCUCCUGUGGUCCUUCAUCAGGAUAAAUUUCUAAAAGAAGAAUUACUGGCCAAAGGAUUCCUCUUCAGUUGGAAACAGCAGCAAAGUUCACAGGUCGUGAGUGGAUGUAAAGUGGACGGAACAGGUUGUUGCCAGUCUAUUGGAGUAGGAUGGUAGAUGAGCAGUCCCGUUGGCUAACAGGUGUGGGUAUGCCUGUUUUAAAAAUUAGCAUGUUGUAGGGGAAUAUUUCUCAAACUUUUGUCACGUAUCUACCUCUUAGGCAUUUUUUACUUUAUUCACCUGUACUACUAUUUAAUAUUUUUAAAAUUCAACUGAUUUUUUUUUUUGCUUAAAUACAUGUCUUUAAAACUGGAACUUUAUUCGCCACUGUAAAUGGAAAACCAGUGUCAUUUGCCAUAUAUAGAAGUGAACUAUAUAGUAAAUACGGUGAAAGUGAAAUGGUAUCAUCACACUUGUGCUAGAUUCCAUUUCCUAUAGAAGGUUCUGGGUUUCUUAAAAGGCUUGUUAAAAAGAGAGAUGAGUAAAUGUGAGAGGAAUUUAAGACAUACUAGCACCAUUAAGACUUUCUCCUUAAAGUAAUCUGGAGGAUUUAAAUUGAGAAUUGAAAAAAGUAACUUUAUUUUACAUAAGAAAUUAUGUAAAAGAAUUAUGUUAUUUAAUGCCACAUCCAUACGUCAUCAAGAGUCAACUUGGUGACCACUAGUGGCCCAUGUCCCACACUUUGAGAAACGUGUGUUGGGGUGGGAAUCUGAAGUCAGAAAAACUGGAGUAUGAUAACCACCUCAGCACUUAUUAGAGGCCUUCACUUGGGAAUGAUGACCCUUCCUUGUAGGGUUGUAGUGAGAAUGACAGAUAAUAUAUGAAAAGAUAAAACAUGGUGCCAGAGGCAUUAGCAGGUGCUGCGAAGGGGCUGUUGUAUUUCUUGUUAUACUGGAGUGGUUCUCCACCCUGGAUGCAUAUUAGAAUCAUCUGAAGGGCUUUUUAAAAAUACAGAUAUCAUGACCUCACCCCUGGAGAUCCUAAUUUAAUUGGUCAGGGGUAGGGUUCUGGCAUUGUUACUUGUUUAAAACAAAGUUCCUCCUCCUUCCCAGUGAUUUUAAUUUGUAGCCAGUGUUGGAAAAACCAUGGACUUAACCCUUUCCUAAGAGCUUAGAUCAAUUCUGCAGAUUAGCUAUCUGCCAUUUUGAAAAGGUGGCAUAAGCUCAGGGAAGUAUUCACUGGACAAAAGGAAUUCUGGAUGGCGGAAGCUCUAGGCACCAUCAGGCACUUGCUUUGUGCUGGAAGCUGCAUCAAAUGGCUUGAGCCCAAAGUAGACAUAAGGGCUCCUUAUUUCCCUGGACACUGGGAAAAUCAUUUCUCUUAUUCCAAGAGAACAAUUUUGCUGACCAUGGAAAUACUAUCUCUGGUUUCCAGAGGUACAGUGCUGUUCAGUGCUCUUCUGGAGGUUGUAGUAUGAAGAAAUGACAAAGCCAAAAAGGCAUUCUGACCUAGGGAGACUAUCUUUAAAGCAAAAUAUAAAUGUAGGGCAAAAACUCUGCGGUCUCAGGAGGAUUGGAUCCAGGGGAAAAUGUUUAAAAGGCAAACGUUUAGAAUCAAUUAUACAGCUUCAGCAAUGGUUUGCUAUUGUCUUGCUGUCUUUUUGUUUUGCUUUGUGUAGUGUUCAGAAUAUCUGCAUCAUGUAGCAUCUUUCUAUUUUUAGGAGUCUUUAAACUCCUUUAUUCUGAGGCCCCAGAAUAUUCUCAUCCACCACGUACUUUCACGUGGAGAUGACUGACUUCAUCUUUGACAAUGGCAGUUCCCUAACCUUGAUCCAGCACGGGAGCAGGAAUUAUGGCGAAAAUGGCCACCCAAACUGCACCCAGUGGGAAAACAGCAUUAACUCAGCUUUUAAAAAAGUGUCAACUUGGAAAAUCCAAGACCUAGAUCUGAUGCUUAGGGACCCACAAUGCCAGGCAGCAGUCUGGGAGAUGUCACUUCUGGAGCUUCUAAUGAGAUGCAAAUCACCUAGUGAACUACUGGGGAGCUGGGAAACAAUGUCCUGGGUAAAAGCAGAUAAAAAUGGAAUGAAAGAAUUUCUUUGAAGAUUGGAACGACAUUUUAAGUGCUUGCGGAUAUGGGACACCAGAUAGUGUUGGUUUUACUAAGCUAAUUGUGACGGGGUCUUUGAUUCCCUGCAGCAGGGGACCCUGGGGCACUCGUCUCCAGCUCUGCCUCACUCUUUGAGGAGCUAGUUCCAGUUCUACUGUGAGUGUGCAAGGGGCUGGUCAGCUGUAGCAAAACCAGCACUGGACAUGGGGGAUCAGAAGACCCCGGCACACAUAGUUCAAGUUGUGACACAUAUUGGUAUGUGACCUUAAGUGAAUCCCUUACCCCUCUGCUGCCAUGUUUUAUGUGUAAAAUGAUAAAGAGAGGGGUGGACUGAGGUAGUAAUUUUUAAUGGAGAACAUUGGUGUGGCAAAUUACACAUGUUCUGGCCUGAAGAUUCUGAGCUGCUCUCCUUGGAGUCACAUUCUUUCCCAGUGUGUGAACAUCUGUGUGCAGUGAGAGACAUGCCUGAUGGGGAUCUGUUGCCUGAAGCCAGUGUGAAGGCAGGAAAAGGCUUGUUGGAAUUUAAAUACGACCAAUCAAAAUGUGUUUAGGCUUCAAAGGAAAAAGUUCUCCAUAAAUACACCAGAAUUUCAUUCUAACAUGAUUCAUUCAUUCAAAGAGCACAGCUGCACAAGGGGAAGACAGCUGCCACAUGGUAACGCAGUCCUGUAAAGAGUCCCAUGUGGUGAGAGACGUGGUUGGGAGUGAGCUUGGAAGUGGAUCCCCAACCCUCGUCCCCAAACUGAGACUUCACAUGAGACUGCAGCUCUGGCCAACAGCUUCACUGUAACCUCACAACAGACCUUGAGCCACAAGCACCCAGCUAAGCUGCAGGGAGACCCCCUGAAACUAUUGCUACGGAAUAAAAGAUGAAAUGCUCCUGAUUAU
rnacentral:lncRNA from 1 species